rnacentral:rRNA from 1 species
GAUGAACGCUGGCGGCGUGCCUAAUACAUGCCAGUCGAGCGAACAGAUGAGGAGCUUGCUCCUCUGACGUUAGCGGCGGACGGGUGAGUAACACGUGGAUAACCUACCUAUAAAACUGGGAUAACUUCGGGAAACCGGAGCUAAUACCGGAUAAUAUAUUGAACCGCAUGGUUCAAUAGUGAAAGACGGUUUUGCUGUCACUUAUAGAUGGAUCCGCGCCGCAUUAGCUAGUUGGUAAGGUAACGGCUUACCAAGGCAACGAUGCGUAGCCGACCUGAGAGGGUGAUCGGCCACACUGGAACUGAGACACGGUCCAGACUCCUACGGGAGGCAGCAGUAGGGAAUCUUCCGCAAUGGGCGAAAGCCUGACGGAGCAACGCCGCGUGAGUGAUGAAGGUCUUCGGAUCGUAAAACUCUGUUAUUAGGGAAGAACAAAUGUGUAAGUAACUAUGCACGUCUUGACGGUACCUAAUCAGAAAGCCACGGCUAACUACGUG